UACGAAGGGGGCAAGCGUUGUUCGGAAUUACUGGGCGUAAAGGGCGCGUAGGCGGUGCUCUAAGUCAGGCGUGAAAGCCCUGGGCUCAACCCGGGAAUUGCGCUUGAUACUGGAGCGCUUGAAUCCAGGAGAGGAUAGUGGAAUUCCCAGUGUAGUGGUGAAAUACGUAGAGAUUGGGAAGAACACCAGUGGCGAAGGCGGCUAUCUGGACGGUUUCUGACGCUAAGACGCGAAAGCGUGGGGAGCAAACAGG
rnacentral:rRNA from 1 species